UUGAUCCUGGCUCAGAUGAACGCUGGCGACAUGCCUAACGCAUGCAAGUCGGACAGGAAGUGGUGUUUCUAGUGGCGGAUAGGUGAGUAACGCGUAAGAACCUGCCCUUGGGAGGGGAACAACAGCUGGAAACCACUGCUAAUACCCUGUAGGCUGAGGAGCAAAAGGAGGAACCCACUCGAAGAGGGGUUCGCGUAUGAUUAACAAGUUGGUGAGGCAAUAACUUACCAAUAGUUGGUGAGGAUGAUCAUCCAUACUGGGACUGAGACAAGGCCUAGACUCCUACGGGAGUCAGCAGUGAGGAAUUUUCCACAAUGGGAAAAAGCCUGACAGAGCAAUGCCACGUGGAGGUAGAAGGCCUACGGGUCAUGAACUUCUUUUCCUGGAGAAGAAGCAAUGACGGUAUCUGGGGAAUAAGCAUUGGGCUAACUCUGUGCCAGCAGCCGCGGUAAGAUAGAGGAUGUAAGCAUUAUCCAGAAUGAUUGGGCGUAAAGUAUCUACAGGUAGUUUUUUAAGUUCACCAUCAAAUCUUAGGGCUCAACCCUAGACAGGUGGUGGAAACUACUAAGCUGGAGUACGGUAGGGGCAGAGGGAAUAUCCGGUGGAGCGGAGAAAUGCGUAGAGAUCAGAAAGAACACCAAUGGCGAAGGCACUCUACUUGGCCGACACUGACACUGAGUGACAAAAGCUAGGGGAGCGAAUGGGAUUAGAUACCCCAGUAGUCCUAGCCGUGAACGAUGGAUACUAGGUGUUGUGCGUAUUGACCUGUUCAAUGUUGUAGUUAACGCGUUAAGUAUCCCGCCUGGGGAGUACGUUCGCAAGAAUGAAACUCAAAGGAAUUGACAGGGGCCCGCACAAGCAGUGGAGCAUGUGGUUUAAUUCGAUGCAAAGAGAAGAACCUUACUAGGGCUUGACAUGCCGCAAAUCCUCUUGAAAGAGAGGGGUGCCUUCGGGAACGCGGACACAUGUGGUGCAUGGUUGUCGUCAGCUCGUGCCGUAAGGUGUUGGGUUAAGUCCCGCAACGAGCGCAACCCUCAUGUUUAGUUGCCAACAUUGAGUUUGGAACCCUGAGCAAACUGCUGGUGAUAAGCCAGAGGAAGGUGUGGAUGACGUCAAGUGAUCAUCCCCCUUAUGCCCUGAGCGACACAUGUGCUAUAAUGGACGGGACAAAGGAUCGCGAUCCCGCGAGGGUGAGCUAAUUCCCAAAACUCGUCCUCAGUUCAGAUUGUAGGCUGCAACUCGCCUACAUGAAGCUGGAAUCGCUAGUAAUCGCCGAUCAGCCAUAUGGCGGUGAAUUCAUUCCCAGGCCAUGUAC
rnacentral:rRNA from 1 species